rnacentral:lncRNA from 10 species
UUCUUCCCAGGCACUCGGACACUGUGUUCAGUUACAGCUGUGUCCUCUACCCAGGGCAAUUUUGUCCCUGAGAGGACACUUGGUAAUGUCUGGAGACAUUUUUGAUUGUCACAACUUGAGAGUGGGGGUUGCUACUGGCGUCUAGUGGGUAGAGGUCAGAGAUACUAGGAAACAUCUUACAAUGCAGAGGACAGCUCCCCCCAGAUAAUUAUCUGGCCCCUAAUGUCCAUCAGGCUGAAGUUAAGAAACCCUGGGUUAGAGAACAGGUGGUUGAUAGGGCCCUCCAGGGCUGAGGAAAUGAAGAGACGCUCCUCUCUGAAGUUGUAGGAGGUGCUGUAAUCAGAGGAGUUUGCUGAUGAAAUUCUAGGUGGCAAGGAGCUUCAGUAAGUCCAAGAGAAAAAUCUGACUGGCACACAGAAUCAAAGGACUGUGUUAAUUCCAAGAGCACGUCCCAAUAAAUGCCCACAUGCCAAUCUCUGAUUCCAUCUGCUUUCCACAGAAUCCAACCUGCACCUGCAGACAGAGAGGAUUUGGACAGGGGUUAUAGCUACUCUUACAGAAGACAUAAGAAGAUAUAUACGCAGAGAAGACAUCAUAAGACCUGAAGAUGAAAAACUUCUGAUCACAGAAGAAAGAUAUACAACAGCCUUGAAGCAUUCUGAGAACCCAGUGAAGGCAAUAAUGUCUCUUCCCAGAGAAAUUCACAGAAUUAUGCAAACUUGGCUCAAUUGUCUUCUGGCAUAAUUGGUGCUACAGAGAACAUUGAGAUCUGGGCUACAUUUUGCCAAGGAGAGGAACAUCUGUGGAGUCUGGAAAGUGGAAGUAAAUCGGAAGCUUUAUUCUCUGGAGGUGGUGGCUGCCAGAUGAACAUGCACAUGUAGCCCCUAGAAGCUUGGAACUGCCCUCAGACUACAGCCAGGAAGCAGACAGGGACUUCAGUUCCACAGCCACAAGGAGCUGAAUUCUGCCAACCAGAAUGAGCAAGAACAUGGAUUCUCCCCUCAAGCCUCCAGAAAAGAAUGCAGCCUACAGUCAGCACUUUAAGUCCCAUGCAACCUAUAAUAGAUUUCUGACCUACAGAGCUUUAAUGUCAUAAAUUGGUGUUGUUUUAAGUCAUGAAGUUUGUGGUAGCUUCUUAUGACAGUAAUUGAAAACUAAUACCUGGUCUUUUUAGCAGAAUAACGAGCACCCUGUAAUGUGUCAUUCAUGCAUAUCUUUUUUUUUUUUUUUUUUUUGGUGGGGGCAGGAAGACAAAACUCUAGAGUUUAAUCUUCCAGCUGACUGACUUGGAAGUGUUCCUGUCAAUAUAAAAGAUCUUGUUGGGGG